rnacentral:rRNA from 1 species
UAGGGAAUAUUGCAAAAUGGGCGAAAGCCCGAUGCAGCAACGCCGCGUGGGCGAUGAAGGCCUUCGGGUCGUAAAGCCCUUUUUGAGGGGAUGAGGAAGGACAGUACCCUCAGAAUAAGCCUCGGCUAACUACGUGCCAGCAGCCGCGGUAAAACGUAGGAGGCGAGCGUUAUCCGGAUUUACUGGGCGUAAAGCGCGUGCAGGCGGAUUGGAGAGUUGGAUGUGAAAGCUCCCGGCUUAACUGGGAGAGGUCGUUCAAUACUUCCAGGCUUGAGUGCAGUAGAGGGAAGUGGAAUUCCGGGUGUAGUGGUGAAAUGCGUAGAUAUCCGGAGGAACACCAGUGGCGAAAGCGGCUUCCUGGACUGUAACUGACGCUCAGACGCGAAAGCUAGGGUAGCAAAC